GGCCCAACCUCUCCCCGUGGCCAGCAGACAGAUGUGCUGAACAGCAGAGUCUGGCUUCUGCUUGAAUUCAUUUCGAAUGUUUAACUGGGCUCUGAAUGGAAGGCAACAAAAGUACUUGACAAAACCAGCCGAUAUCAAUGUCCCUGUAGCAGUCAGUGACUAAUUUUAGCAGCGGAAAAGCGAGGGGCUUAGAACCCAAGAGAUGGUCACCCCCUGGGAACGUCCUCCUCCCUGAGAAUGUAAAUAGAGAUCAGGACUAAAGCAACACAGCUCACCCCGGGCCCAUUCUCCACGUCAGAGUGUGACAUUCAACAGAACUUUUGACAGAGCAGCUUGGACUCUUCCUAAACUCUCAGGAGGCCGACAACAGCAGUUAUUGGCAGUUCUCCAUGUCACGUAACAGCAUCCCGCACCCCAGAUCUUCCAGGCCCUCCACCUGAAAUCACGUACAAAGAAAAAAGCCAACUACUGAAUUAACAAGAAUGACAGAACUAGAAAAUCACCAAGACUACCAUCAUCACAAUAACAGCUUCAGGCAAGAAUCCUCACCGGAUACUGAAACCAGGGGUCACUGAAUGCCAUGUAGGGCCCUCUUGAGAUCUAGGACAUUGUUAGGACAACUGGCAAAAUAUGAAUCAGGCCUGUGAGGAGACAACACUAUUGUAUGGUUGGUAGUUUUCUGAGGUUGACUGCUGCGCUGAGCAGCUGAGGACAGGCUGCCCUUGUUUCUGGUCAACAGAUUAGUUGGGGGGUGGGGGGAAGGGUGUCAUCUCAACCACUAACUUUCAAAUGAUCCUGAAAAAAAUUUAUUUUAAAAAAUAUAAACGUAUACAGUAAUUCUCUGUACUAUCCUUGCAGCUUUUCUUGAAGUCUGAAAUUACAGCAAAAUUAAAAGUUAAAAGGACAAACAGAAAAAGUUAAGGGUUAAAACGUCCCCAGAAUUUUUCAAGGACACUCAUCUCCACAUUCAGCAAGUCAAAAAAUACCAAGACGGAUAAAUGAAAACGCUUAGUGAAAAUGCAGAACAUGCUUAGAAGACUACGAUCAUAAAAGCACCAAGAGAAGUAGCAGAUUCCUACAAAGAAGACACGAAUGUGGGCAGGGAACUUUAAACAGUGACAGCGGCAUUUAGUGGGCCGACAAUAUUUUCAAAGUGCUGGGAAAAACAGCUGUCCACUCAGAAGUGUCCACCUGCCAUAGCAGACCACAGUGCUGGGGAAAGAAUGCCAUUUUAGACAGAAAAUGACAGAAUUUACUACUGCAGGAACUUCUAAAGAAACUUCUAAAGGCUGUUACUUUCAGCAGAGUAAGAUCAAAAAAGAAGAAAUGGUAUGCAAAUAAAAUAAAUAUAAGAUUAAAAUUAAGAAGCUGUAUUCAUCAAGAAAGACCACAGAGUAAAAGGACAAGACACAUCUGCAAAAAGCAACGUACACAUGUAACCAUGACUUUGUUAUAAGACCCAUGCACACACAGACACACACAGAAAGAUCAGUUCUACAGAUGAACAGGAAAAGAGAACAAACGGCUGAACAGAAAAAUGGGACUUCAAAUCAGAAGCUACAAAUGCCCCAAACAAGAUGCUCAAGUUCGCUGGCGAUCUAGGGCAAGCACAGCGAGAUCCAGUUUCAUGAGCCAUCUGGCAGGAAGCCAUGGUGGGGGUCAGGGAAAGAGGACGCCGUGCAGCCACGCUGGGGACGGACUGGCAUCGUGACCCAGCAUCCCAUUCCCAGGGAGGGACCCUCAAAAGCCCCUGCAGGUGUGCGCCAGCAAACACUGAGG